GACGAACGCUGGCGGCGUGCCUAAUACAUGCAAGUCGAACGCAUUUUCUUUCACCGUAGCUUGCUACACCGAAAGAAAAUGAGUGGCGAACGGGUGAGUAACACGUGGGUAACCUGCCCAUCAGCGGGGGAUAACACUUGGAAACAGGUGCUAAUACCGCAUAAUUCCAUUUACCGCAUGGUAGAUGGGUGAAAGGCGCUUUUGCGUCACUGAUGGAUGGACCCGCGGUGCAUUAGCUAGUUGGUGGGGUAACGGCCUACCAAGGCUGCGAUGCAUAGCCGACCUGAGAGGGUGAUCGGCCACACUAGGACUGAGACACGGCCCAGACUCCUAAGGGAGGCAGCAGUAGGGAAUCUUCGGCAAUGGACGCAAGUCUGACCGAGCAACGCCGCGUGAGUGAAGAAGGUUUUCGGAUCGUAAAACUCUGUUGUUAGAGAAGAACAAGGAUGAGAGUGGAAAGUUCAUCCCUUGACGGUAUCUAACCAGAAAGCCACGGCUAACUACGU
rnacentral:rRNA from 1 species